AUUGAACGCUGGCGGCAGGCCUAACACAUGCAAGUCGAGCGGAUGAAGGGAGCUUGCUCCCUGAUUUAGCGGCGGACGGGUGAGUAAUGCCUAGGAAUCUGCCUGGUAGUGGGGGACAACGUUUCGAAAGGAACGCUAAUACCGCAUACGUCCUACGGGAGAAAGUGGGGGAUCUUCGGACCUCACGCUAUCAGAUGAGCCUAGGUCGGAUUAGCUAGUUGGUGAGGUAAAGGCUCACCAAGGCGACGAUCCGUAACUGGUCUGAGAGGAUGAUCAGUCACACUGGAACUGAGACACGGUCCAGACUCCUACGGGAGGCAACAGUGGGGAAUAUUGGACAAUGGGCGAAAGCCUGAUCCAGCCAUGCCGCGUGUGUGAAGAAGGUCUUCGGAUUGUAAAGCACUUUAAGUUGGGAGGAAGGGCAGUAAGUUAAUACCUUGCUGUUUUGACGUUACCAACAGAAUAAGCACCGGCUAACUUCGUGCCAGCCGCCGCAGUAAUAC
rnacentral:rRNA from 1 species